rnacentral:tRNA from 1 species
GGAAGGAUGGCCGAGCGGUUGAUGGCGCCAGUCUUGAAAACUGGUAUAGAGGAAACUCUAUCGGGGGUUCAAAUCCCUCUCCUUCCGCCA